GAUGAACGCUGGCGGCGUGCCUAAUACAUGCAAAUCGAGCGAACGGACGAGAAGCUUGCUUCUCUGAUGUUAGCGGCGGACGGGUGAGUAACACGUGGAUAACCUACCUAUAAGACUGGGAUAACUUCGGGAAACCGGAGCUAAUACCGGAUAAUAUUUUGAACCGCAUGGUUCAGAAGUGAAAGACGGUCUUGCUGUCACUUAUAGAUGGAUCCGCGCUGCAUUAGCUAGUUGGUAAGGUAACGGCUUACCAAGGCAACGAUGCAUAGCCGACCUGAGAGGGUGAUCGGCCACACUGGAACUGAGACACGGUCCAGACUCCUACGGGAGGCAGCAGUAGGGAAUCUUCCGCAAUGGGCGAAAGCCUGACGGGGCAACGCCGCGUGAGUGAUGAAGGUCUUCGGAUCGUAAAACUCUGUUAUUAGGGAAGAACAUAUGUGUAAGUAACUGUGCACAUCUUGACGGUACCUAAUCAGAAAGCCACGGCUAACUACGUG
rnacentral:rRNA from 1 species